rnacentral:misc_RNA from 1 species
GAUGCCCCUCUCGCUCUCCCGGUAUCACACACGGUGUGUGCGUGUGGGUAAUGCACAUCCGUGCAACGUUAGAGCGUCUCGCCAAGCUUGCUAGUGUAUUUCGAAGGAGGAUUGGGCACAACGGAUCACGGUUGACUUACGCUCACAUGAAAAUCAGGGGACGGGGGGAGGGAGGGGAGACGAUGAGGCCGGGGCGAAGACACGUCAGGUGUGUGUGUGCGCGCAGCCAUAGAAGCUCAAAUGCAUGGCGGCUAGGGACGCUCGCAUUCCACCUACGCUUUAUCUAGGCUGUUGCGCAGACGAUGGACGUCCAGCGAAAGUGGUGGCGCGUUGUCGUCCACCCAAAACACCAUCGCUCCCCGAGGGAGAUGGCAAGAACGGCCGCCCGUCCCGCCCCGCCCCGCCUUAUAUAUAUAUAUAUAUACAUAUUGGCUCUGUCUGUGGGUGGAGCCAUUCUCCUUUUUUUUUCAGGACCCCUUUUCAUCGAAUACGCCAGCGAAGACGGGACGGCGCUGCGGAGGCGCCUUGUGCUCCCUCUUCGCCAUUUUUGACGUGUUUGCUUUCCUUUGGACGAAGGCAAGAUUCAUAUUUGGACGUUAUACAGCAUGCUCGUUGCACCUACACAUGCGGCUGUAAGGUGUUCACCUCUCAGCGCUCAAACCUGUACGGUGCGUUCACACAGCUUCAUCGCCAUUUCAUGCAGUGCUUCUGGUUUUGCAGUGCAGAUGGCGUCUUACCGUGAAUUGUGUUGCCGUCAACGUGUCGCCAUGCAGCUUCCCAGCUCUCAUUUUUGUGAGGCAGCCGGCACGCCGACAGCUCACUGCGCCCACCCCCCUCCCCCAGGUGGUUUUGAACAGAUGGCACUGUCUACGUGGACUGUGCAACAAGAGAGGGUUUCUCACCAAUAUGUGUACGCGCACUUGCGACGGCGCAAGAAUGUCCCAUGGCCCGUCUUGUGAGCAGCAGGGUGUCUGCGUGUGCUCUCUCCCGGACAAGAAGACGCUGAAAUUGUGCUCGACCAGUUUCCUGGCGACAUUAAUCCCGUCGCCGCGAAUCGGACAAGGUCUCGUUCUGGCCGAGAAGUCUGCUUAACGGAUAACUGGGGCCCGAGAGUGUAGAAAAGACACGGCGAAAUGUGCUCUCCCCGCCCCCAAGUGCGGACGGAUGAGGCAAAAGGGCAUGCGGCCAGCGGGCAGCGCCCACAAUGCCAAUCGCGUUUCUUUAUCUCUUCGUCCUCUCUUGACCCAAUCGCGCGAGAUUAUGUGCGUGCGUGUAUGUGCGACGACAGACGAGAACGCUGCCGCUGCUCUCGAGAAGGUCGUUUGCUUGUCCGUGUGGGACUCCAUCUUCAGCGCGCCUCCUCGUGCGCACCGUCGUCUCUGCGCUGCCGCACCUGUCCUGUGCGACCGUCCCCCUGAUCCCCCGUUGCCUUUUGGUUACUGUGUGCGUGUGUGUUUUGCGCGUU